rnacentral:rRNA from 1 species
AUGGAUCAUCCAGAAAAUACAGUAACACAACUUAUCCGAGAAGAGCAUAGAUCGAAAUGGAUUGCACAUAGCAAUCAUGAUGUGAAAUGUUUUACAGAAGAUGAGAUAAGAAGAUUUACCAACAACUAUAAAACUAUACUUGGUAGAGGUGCCUUUGGAGAAGUUUAUGAAGGAGUCCUUGAGGACAAAAGUAUGGUUGCAGUCAAGAAGUUUAUCUACAAUGCAAAAGUAAAUUUUGCCAAAGAGUUGACCGUCCACCGUGAGAUCAAUCACAAGAAUGUAGUCAGAUUAGUCGGCUACUGUGUAGAUGAAAAUGCCUUUAUGGUGGUCACGGAGUAUAUUUCCAAAGGAGAUCUAAGUACCAUCCUUCACAAGGAUAGCAUUCCCAUCACUUUGGGUACACGGCUAAGAAUUGCCAUUGAAUGUGCAGAAGCAUUGGCCUAUAUGCAUUCGCAAAUGUAUACUCAGGUCAUUCAUGGCGAUAUCAAGCCUGAUAAUAUACUUCUAGAUGAUGAACUCAGAGCAAAAGUAUCAGACUUUGGAAUAUCAAGACUAGUCAACACUGAAAAUACUCUAUGUACUCUAAAUGUGAUCGGAAGUAUAGGCUACAUGGAUCCUAUGUUUGUUCAGAAUGGUCGCCUCACCGCAAAGAGUGAUGUUUAUAGUUUUGGAAUUGUACUCCUGGAACUGAUCACUAGAAAGAAAGCAAGAACAGAGGAUGGGGAGAUUGUCUUGGUUGGCAGUUUUAAUCAAUCUCUUUCAAAAGGGGUUAAGAGGGUAAGGGAGAUGUUUGAUCCUGAAAUCACAACGUCGAGCGACAUGAAGACUAUCGACGAGAUUGCUAAGUUGAUAGGUAAAUGCUUGAGGAUGGAACUCAAAAAACGUCCAGAGAUGUUUGAAGUUGCCGAACGUCUUCGCAAACUUAGAAAAGCACCACAUCAGGUACAAGAAAGACUAGCUCUGUUUCCUUGGAGAAGAAAAAAUAAAUUAGCUCGAGCAAAAACACCAUCUCUGGAAAGCAGCGGCAGUAGCCAAAAAGCGGGAGAUGUAGCUCCAGCUGAAAAAACACCAUCGCAAGAAAGCAGUGGCAGUAUCCCCCAAACAGAAAUUGUGGCUCCAGUCAAAGCGGCACUAUCACAGAUAUGCUGUGAUAGUAUACGAAAUGUGGGAACUUCUAUCAUUGGACCGACAGUGACAGGCCAAUUGUUCGACCUGAAAGACCUGCUUGGGGCAUCGACUGAAGUUCUGGGCCAGGGUACAGUCGGGACAACAUACAAAGUAACGCUUGACAGCGGAUAUGAGCUGGUGGUCAAGUGGCUGAAGUAUGUGCACAUGCCGAAGGUGGAGUUUGAGCUGCAUGCCACAAGUAUUGGCACCAUCCAAAACAAACACAUUGUGCCACUGCUAUGGCAUUACCAUAGCGAGCCCGAUAAGAUCCUAGCGUACAGUUUCAUCCCCAUGGGUAGCUUAGCAAAAGUGCUCCACGGUGACGGAGUCUCUGACCCAGCUCCGCUGGACUGGGAGCAGCGGUCAGCCAUCUCACUUGCUGUUGCGCGCGGUAUGGCAGCUAUUCAUUUUGCCGGACCAUUGAGCUGUCAUGGCAACAUCACGUCUUCAAACAUUCUGCUGACUGGCACCCACGAUGCACUUGUGUCCGAGCAUGGUCUGAUAACACUACUUGGCAUAUAUUCAAAUGGCUCCGGCUACUGCGCGCCUGAGCUCACAGGCGAUAGGCGGGUUUCUCAGAAAGCUGACGUAUACAGCUUUGGCAUCGUACUGCUGGAGCUUCUCACUCGCAAGGCUCCGGCAAAUAGCAUAAGGGGUAUGGAGGGAGUCCAUUUGCCAUGGUGGGUGCGUUCUGUUGUUUGCACGGGGUGGACGGAGGAGGUGUUCGACGUGGAACUCCGAAGAUGGGAGCAGAAGGACAGGGAAGAAGAGUUCAUGGUGCGACUUCUAUGGCUUGCCUUAAACUGCUGCAGUCAAUAUCCCAACAAGAGGCCUACAAUGUCUGAAGUCGUGCAGCAGAUCGAAGAGAUCGGAAGAGAAAGAAAAAUUGCUCCAGCCAAAACACCAUCUCUGGAAAGCAGAAGCAGUAGCCAAAGUGUGAGAACUGUAGCUCCAGCUGAAAAAACGCCAUCACAAGAAAGCAGUGGCAGAACCCCCAAAACGGGAAUUGUGGCUCCAGUCAAAACGGGACUAUCACAGGAAAGCAGUAGCAGUACCCGAUAUGUGGGAACUUUUAUCGGUAGGUCCACAGCGACUGACCAAUAUUUCGACCUGGAAGACCUCCUUCGGUCAUCGGCUGAAAUUCUGGGCAAGGGUACAGUCGGGAAAACAAUCAAAGCGACGCUUGAUAGUGGGUGGGUGCUGGUGAUCAAGAUGCUGAAGGAUGUGGAUAUGCCGAAGGCGGACUUUGAGCAGCAAGUCAGGCUGAUUGGCGCCAUCCAGAACAAACACAUUGCGCCACUGCGGUGGUAUUACUACAGCGAGGAUCAGAAGGUGUUAGUGUACAACAGCAUCCGCAUGGGUAGCCUAGCAAAAGUACUGCACGGUGGCGAAGCCUCUGGCCCAGGUCUGCUGGACUGGGAGCAGCGGUCAGCCAUCUCACUAGCUGUUGCGCGCGGUGUGGAGGCUAUCCACUUAGCUGGACCAUCAAGCUGCCAUGGUAACAUCAAGUCUUCCAACAUCCUGCUCACCGGUACACACGAUGCAUGUGUGUCGGAGCAUGGCCUGAUAACACUUGGCGUGUAUCCCAAUGCAUCCAGCUACUGUGCACCUGAGCUCACCGACAAUAAGCGGUUCUCCCAGGAAGCCGACGUGUACAGUUUCGGCAUCCUAUUGCUGGAGCUUCUCACACGCAAGGCCCCGGCAAAUAGCAUACAUGAUGAACAGGGAGUAGAUUUGUCAUGGUGGGUGCAUUCUGCUAUGCGUGAGGAUCGCACGGCGGAGGUGUUCGACGUGGAGCUCCGACGACAGGAGCAGAAGGACGGUGAAAAAGAGUGCAUGGUGCAAAUUCUGCAUGUCGCCAUAAACUGUUGCAGUAAACAUGUCGACUCAAGGCCUACAAUGUCUUAUGUUGUGCAGCAGAUCGAGAAGAUCCUACAGGCCUAA